rnacentral:rRNA from 1 species
GAUGAACGCUGGCGGCGUGCCUCAAACAUGCAAGUCGAGCGGGGCUAUGUAAUAUCGCAAGGUAGAACAUAGCCUAGCGGCGAACGGGUGAGUAACACGUGGGUAACCUGCCUGGAAGACAGGGAUAACGAUUCGAAAGGGUCGCUAAUACCUGAUAAUAUCCUUUCAUCGCAUGGUGAUAGGAAGAAAGGGGAAACCCGCUUUCAGAUGGGCCCGCGUCCCAUCAGCUAGUUGGUAAGGUAAAGGCUUACCAAGGCGACGACGGGUAGCCGGUCUGAGAGGAUGUACGGCCACACUGGGACUGAGAUACGGCCCAGACUCCUACGGGAGGCAGCAGUUGGGAAUCUUAGGCAAUGGACGAAAGUCUGACCUAGCGACGCCGCGUGAGGGAAGAAGGCCUUCGGGUUGUAAACCUCUGUCAUGGGGAAGAAGUAAGUGACGGUACCCCAAGAGGAAGCCCCUGCUAACUACGUGCCAGCAGCCGCGGUAAGAGUACUCUAU